ensembl:antisense 1600020E01Rik RIKEN cDNA 1600020E01 gene
CCCCUAGGAGAAAAAAAAAAGAGGACCGGCUUUUUUAGAGCAAGACAAUCCCAGAGAGAUGAAGUGAAUGACCCAAGGUUACACAGGAUGGAACCUAUAUCUUCUGAUUUCUCUACUGGCCUGCACUCCAUGUUCUGAGGAGGAGUCCUUGAAGCUACUGAGAUAAUGGAACAAUGGAGUAGAUAGUCCAUUAUAACUCAUCUGGGAUUCUUCUCAACUUCAAGUGACCACAGAAAAAAGGUUGUCCUGUCCAUUCUGUCCCUUUUGCUGUACCCAUGGUGACUGCAUCAGCCUGAGAAGACUGUGAUGUUACGUCUCUGCUUGAGAUGUUAGGGGACUGGAGAUGGCUCAGCAGUUAA